UACGUAGGGUGCGAGCGUUGUCCGGAAUUAUUGGGCGUAAAGAGCUCGUAGGCGGCCUGUCGCGUCGGAUGUGAAAGCCCGGGGCUUAACCCCGGGUCUGCAUUCGAUACGGGCAGGCUAGAGUGUGGUAGGGGAGAUCGGAAUUCCUGGUGUAGCGGUGAAAUGCGCAGAUACCAGGAGGAACACCGGUGGCGAAGGCGGAUCUCUGGGCUAUAACUGACGCUCAUGCACGAAAGCGUGGGGAGCAAACAGG
rnacentral:rRNA from 1 species